CCUACGGGUGGCAGCAGUGGGGAAUAUUGCACAAUGGGGGAAACCCUGAUGCAGCGACGCCGCGUGGGUGAAGAAGUAAUUCGUUAUGUAAAGCUCUAUCAGCAGGGAAGAAAAUGACGGUACCUGAGUAAGAAGCCCCGGCUAACUACGUGCCAGCAGCCGCGGUAAUACGGAGGGGGCAAGCGUUAUCCGGAUUUACUGGGAGGAAAGGGAGCGUAGGCGGGAUUGCAAGUCUGGAGUGAAAGGCGGGGGCUCAACCCCAGGACUGCUCUUGAAACUGUAAGGCUGGAGUGCAGGAGAGGUAAGUGGAAUUCUUAGUGUAGGGGUGAAAUGCGUAGAUAUCAGGAGGAACACUAGUGGCGAAGGCGACUUACUGGAAUGUAACUGACGUUGAGGCGCGAAAGCGUGGGGAGCAAACAGGAUUAGAUACCCCUGUAGUC
rnacentral:rRNA from 1 species